AAACUCUGCAACAAGCAAUAUAUAGAGAGAAUCAGGUUACCUUUCAUGCCGCUCAAUUUUUCAUGCAUGUUUAUGUUUGGUAUUACAUCUGUAGAGGUUUCUGUAUUGAAUUGGUACGUGAUCAACAAUUUUCUGAUGUACAGGUACAUUUCUCACGGCAACUGAUACAACGAACGGCACCAGUCUUGAACACGGUCCUUAUAAAGUAGGAAGCUAAUUUUCUUGUAGGUUGAG